UCGAGGGGUAACAGGGUUUUCGGACUGCUGACGACCGGCGCACGGGUGAGUAACGCGUAUACAAUCUGCCUAUUACUAAGAGAUAGCCCAGAGAAAUUUGGAUUAAUAUUUUAUGGCAUUACGACUUGGCAUCGAGUUGUAAUUAAAGGUUACGGUAAUAGAUGAGUAUGCGUCCUAUUAGCUUGAUGGUAAGGUAACGGCUUACCAUGGCUACGAUAGGUAGGGGUCCUGAGAGGGAGAUCCCCCACACUGGUACUGAGACACGGACCAGACUCCUACGGGAGGCAGCAGUGAGGAAUAUUGGACAAUGGGAGCAAUCCUGAUCCAGCCAUGCCGCGUGCAGGAAGACUGCCCUAUGGGUUGUAAACUGCUUUUAUACAGGAAGAAAAAGCCCGACGUGUCGGGUGUUGACGGUACUGUAAGAAUAAGGAUCGGCUAACUCCGUGCCAGCAGCCGCGGUAAUACGGAGGAUCCAAGCGUUAUCCGGAAUCAUUGGGUUUAAAGGGUCCGUAGGCGGGACAAUAAGUCAGUGGUGAAAGUCUGCAGCUCAACUGUAGAAUUGCCAUUGAUACUGUUGUUCUUGAGUGCUUGUGAAGUGGUUAGAAUGAGUAGUGUAGCGGUGAAAUGCAUAGAUAUUACUCAGAAUACCGAUUGCGAAGGCAGAUCACUAACAAUUCACUGACGCUGAUGGACGAAAGCGUAGGUAGCGAACAGGAUUAGAUACCCUGGUAGUCUACGCCGUAAACGAUGGUUACUAGCUGUUCGGACCA
rnacentral:rRNA from 1 species